AGUACCUUCGGUCGGUCCUACGGAAGGUAGUAACGGACGUACGUACGGCGGGGCCCGGGUAACUUAAACUACUAGCGUAAGUCGAACGGUGCAGCAAUGCAUAGUGGCAGACGGGUGCGUAACGCGUAUGCAACCUACCUUUUAUCGGGGGACAACAUUUCGAAAGAAGUGCUAAUACCGCGUAAGAUAGUAGUGGGACAUCCCACAGCUAUUAAACUUUCGGGGAUAGAAGAUGGGCAUGCGUCUGAUUAGCUAGUUGGCGGGGUAACGGCCCACCAAGGCGACGAUCAGUAGGGGAACUGAGAGGUUGAUCCCCCACACUGGCACUGAGAUACGGGCCAGACUCCUACGGGAGGCAGCAGUAGGGAAUAUUGGGCAAUGGACGGAGGUCUGACCCAGCCACGCCGCGUGCAGGAGGAAGGCGCUCUGCGUUGUAAACUGCUUUAGCAGGGGAAGAAAAGACUCAUGCGUGAGGAAUUGACGGUACCCUGAGAAUAAGCACCGGCUAACUACGUG
rnacentral:rRNA from 1 species